UACGUAGGGUGCAAGCGUUGUCCGGAAUUAUUGGGCGUAAAGAGCUUGUAGGCGGUUUGUCGCGUCUGCUGUGAAAUUUCGGGGCUCAACCCCGAACCUGCAGUGGGUACGGGCAGACUAGAGUGUGGUAGGGGAGACUGGAAUUCCUGGUGUAGCGGUGAAAUGCGCAGAUAUCAGGAGGAACACCGAUGGCGAAGGCAGGUCUCUGGGCCAUAACUGACGCUGAGAAGCGAAAGUAUGGGGAGCGAACAGG
rnacentral:rRNA from 1 species